UUUUGAGUAGUUUAAUUGAAAACAUUUCUUUUUCAGAGAAAAAAUGGUGAAAGCCCUCAAAAU
rnacentral:tRNA from 1 species